GGCAAGCAUGCAAAAUGCAAAUGGCAUGGCUAAGAAAGGCAAGACUUGGUUAUAUGAAUGAAGCAUCAUUAUGAGAUCUUCUGCUUUGAAGAUUAUGAGGGAAGCACAUCUGGUAUACAGGAUGCUUCAGGUUGAUCCAACCUCAAAAUGCAAGAGUCUUAUGGCUACGUAGAGGCAAACUUCAUCUUAAAUACUGUUUCAAAGUUCCCUGAUGGCACUGUUUCAGACAAUACAAGGGUCAGAAAGAUAUAUCACCAAAUAUCUAAUAAUAUCACCUAAUGUAUCACCAAAAUUGCAAAAAGAAAGAAAACUUCAUUAUACAGAAAUAUGCAUAGAUAACCUUCUAAUAAAACCUAGUAGAUUAUAUAGAAGCAACUGUGAAAAAGUUGUUUUGUUUGCUUAUGCUAUACACUCUAUCCUGUAUGGUUGAGAAUGCAUACUCCGUUAUCAGGGUUCAGUCAUUUGAUCAAGAACAAGAUCUACUCAAGAGGGUAGAAGCUGAAGGGAAAUUGUUAGAUAA